GGGCCCGCACAAGCGGAGGAACAUGUGGUUUAAUUCGAUGAUACGCGAGGAACCUUACCCGGGCUUGAAUUGCAUAUGACUUCAUCAGAGAUGAUGGAUCCCUUCGGGGCAUAUGUGAAGGUGCUGCAUGGUUGUCGUCAGCUCGUGCCGUGAGGUGUCGGCUUAAGUGCCAUAACGAGCGCAACCCCUUUUUUCAGUUGCCAUCAGGUCAUGCUGGGCACUCUGGAGAUACUGCCGCCGUAAGGUGUGAGGAAGGUGGGGAUGACGUCAAAUCAGCACGGCCCUUACGUCCGGGGCUACACACGUGUUACAAUGGGGUGUACAGCGAGUUGGUGUUACGCAAGUGACAUCUAAUCCACAAAACAUCUCUCAGUUCGGACUGGGGUCUGCAACCCGACCCCACGAAGCUGGAUUCGCUAGUAAUCGCGCAUCAGCCAUGGCGCGGUGAAUACGUUCCCGGGCCUU
rnacentral:rRNA from 1 species